CAUUCUCUGUCCGAAUUAGUCCUCUCAUUCGGAGUGCGGUGGGGAACGAGACGGGGAGAUUGCGGCAACCACCUGUAUGCUGAGAAAGAUCGAAAUUUUUUUGAUGAACACUUGAUAUCCUCUUCUAACAGUUGAGAAAGAUUGUGUGGUAAAACAUGGCUGUUAGAUGUGAAUGUAAACACUAAAUCUCUGCUUUUCUCUCUUUCCGGUUCUUCGCCGUGCGCGGUAUAAGGGGAGGGGUGAUGGGUCUGUGGCAGCAUAUGAGUACCUCAUUGGUACACAGCGACACAAAGAGUCUCGGCCAAUAAUUGCACGAUACAAUCGUUAAAGCUGGUUGCGUCAACAGUGCAGAAGGAAGUAGUCAUUUGGCAAGCAGUUUCAUUCAGGGUAAAAUGUUUCCUUUAAGAAUGUGCACGUAUUGUUACAAACUCCCAUCGCCCGUCUGCAUUACUUUAUUGUUUACAAUUUUCCAAAAGUCAGAAUUCAUUUCAUCUUUACACUGAAAAUCAUUUCUACAACUGUUGUUCGUCAGUUCCCGAAUAACAAUGGCGAAGAUACAACUCUCCAAAAUGUUAUUAUUAGUGACAGAGCCAUGGAUGGAGCAAUGUGGGAACAUUGCAAAUCACUGGUUGAAUUUAUGAAGCAGGCAGAAAUCCUCAUGCAAUUUUAAAGCAUUUGGCACGGAUGGUCCUCACAACCCAAUCUUAAUACCUGGAACAGUCAUAAUAUAGUGCAUUAUGGAAACCUGCCUUUUUAUCCAAUGCAUCCAUGCUGAACAUGCUCUCCACCAAGGAGAAAACAGCAGGGGAUGGCAAAGAAACAGAGGAAGCCCUCCCAGCCUAUCUGCUGAAUGCUUAGCCCUGGAUAGAAGUGGGAGGCCCGAAGGCAUGUCAAUUAGAGAAGAUGGAAGUCAAUCCUUAACACAAGAGAUUCUGCAGAUACUGGAAAUCCAGAGCAGCAGACGUAAAAUGCUGAAGGAAUUCAGCAGGUCAAGUUGCAUUUGUAGAAGGCAGUAAACAGUUAUGUCAAAUCUAAAGUGAAUCUUCGCUUGUGAGUAUGUUGAGAUCAUCUAUUGUAUCCAAUGCUCUCAGUGUGACCUCCCCUACAAUGGUGAGACCUGACGUAGUUUGGGAGGAAUACAUUGUCGAGCAUCUGUGCUCCUAAUGGCACAAAAGACAAGAUCUCCAAGUGGCCACCCAUUUCACUUCAAAAUUAUGAGCACUUUCAGUUUCAUAGAUCCAAAGGGGAUUACCCUUAGGAUAUCUUGACAACUGGAUCAAGUAUCUAAGUAUCCUGUGUUCACCUUUGCUGACCCAUGUGUUACAAAAGAGAGGAUCUAUUGGAAGAAAAUUCCAUGUUCAAAGUUGCUCGAUGAUAAGCUCAUGAAUAUUUAAUACAACAGGAGUUUUGUAUUAUCAUUAGUUGUUUACUUGAUAAUAAAUUUCUCAAUUUGCUAAUUAUAUUUCAGGAAUAGCAGAUGUUCUGCAAGUGUAUGAAACCGAGUGCCUAUUAGAUACAAAUAGUGGGAAAUCCUGUGUUGCAAGACUACACAGAUCUUCCAGUACCUAUGGUGCUAACUCUGACUUCCUGAGAUAGUGGAAAAUUUGUGCACAGCAGAUGGUUUAGUAUUUUUGUCCUGUACAUCUCUCUGAUCAAGGAUCAGCCAUGAUCAGACGCUGGAGCAGACUCAAUAGGACAAAUGGCCUAAUUCUGCUCCAAUAUCUGAUGUCCAUAUGGUCUUAUUCAUCAUUUUCAGGUAUGUCAAGAGCAGGUUGCUAUCCUCUAGCUUCUGGAGUUGUCAAUCCUGUUCUGAGUCCUGCAAUAUGCUGCACGAGCAGCCAUCUUUAUUGGUUCCUGCUAAAUGCAGAAAGCAAUUGUAUAAUUCCUUUUCUGUUGAAAGUGAACAAGGAUUUGUGUUGACAAAAUUAACUUAAUACUUUCAUAAUAUAUAAAGUUUUGUAAGCAAUUCAACACAGCUCCAGAAAAGGUAAUCUUUUGUAGAGAUAACUAAUACACCUUCUAUUAAACAAAUUUGUUCUCAGCUUUGUUUGUCAAAUUCUUUGUCUGUCCAACGCCAUGCCACUAGUGGCAAGCUCCAUAGAGUAGGGGGAACCGAUACAAACCUAAAUUCAGAACCUAUUAUAUUUUACAAACUGCUGUUAAAUCAUUCUUAUGAAAUAUAUAAUAUUUUAAACAACA